UGGGCCAGAGGUCCAGCUCCUUCCUCAGGACUCAAGAAGGAAGGGGGGGCCGGGGACAGCAGACAGCAGGCUGCGGGACCCACUCCAGGCACCCGUAUAACUCAAGUCCAGGGCGUGGAGGAGCCCAGAGGCAGAGACCAGCAGAGAAAGUGCCGGAGCUUUGGGAGCACCCUGCCCCACAUUUAUCUCCCACGCCUCAGAAGUGCUUGCUCAUUGCAGAGGAAAUUGUGACACCCUGGGGCCAGGCUUCCUCCUGGCCCACAGUCACAUCUGCUGCUCUAAGACCCCCAGGCCUGCCGCAGUGCCCAGCCCAAGGGCGGGGGUGGGGUGAGAGGUUUGAGGACCUGCCCUACCCGGCUAAGCCACUGCCACCUGCCCAACCUGGACCCCAGCCUCAGUGGGCUUUCCCCAGAAAUGGGCCUUCUGCCCCAGCCCCAGAGUCGCAAGGAGGCCCCAAAGGGGCCUGGGAAAUGGAGGGGACUUAGGGUGGGGUCCAGCAUAGGGUGGGAGUGGGGUGGGUACAAAGAAAAGUGAAGUGGCAACUUCAAAUCAUCAGGAGGCACCUGGGGUUAAGAGUUCCGUAGCCCACCGCACCCAGGGUCUGUACCCUCAUUGUCCCCACGGACCCGGUAGCAUAACCCGGCUAGCAGCAGCCAGGGCAGGCGUGGACGACAGAAACGCAGACUCGGAAAACACUGGCUGAUGGCACCAGAGAAUCUGGUUUUCCCACAGAGGGUGGGGCUGGGUACUGCCAGCUAAGCCCGGUCCCAACAGACCCGGCCAGGGUGAGAGAGGCCAUCUCCAGAGAGGUCCCCAACAGAGCACCACCAGUGCAUGUCCAGGCAGGGUGCUGGAGGGCCCCCCAGCCUGCCCUCAGGUGUAAGUCUGCCUGUACCCAGGAGUCUGGCUCCAGUCCCCUCCCUCUCUCCACUUGCCCACCACCAGCGCACGGUAACAGGUUUCUGAAGUCCCCCCUGGUCCUGCUAAUGGUGGCUGGCUUCUCCCUCACUCCCAGGAUCUGAGGACUUCAUGCCCUGCUGCAGGGCAGGGACCAAGCAGCACCUGCAGCCCCAGACACCCCAGGAGGAAGCACGCAGGCAACUGACACAGGGCUUAGCCUGCCUGUGGCCACAACUGGGAACAGUGGGAGGAGGGGACCUUGGAUAAGAGUGCUUCUGGGACGCAGGUCGUUUUUAGAAAGCUGCAAAGAGGAAGCUGGCCCUCACCCUGUGUGCAAACCCCAGCAAAAGCCCUGGUUCUGCUGACCUCGGGGAAUUGUUCCAGCCCCAGUCAAGACCCGGAAAAGGCAACUUAUAUAAAGGCUGCCGUCCAACUCAG